UUGUGAUGAUCAAAUAGAAGUAAUUUCUUAUACCACCUAACAAUGCAACUAAUGCUUAUAAUGUUGGACACGACUGUUAUUUUUCUCAGGGACAGAUGAGGACACAGAUCGCCUCAUUAACUGGCGCGCUGAAAACGAGGAGAUGUUUACAGGGCGUCGUAGCGCAGCCCAAAAACGUUUCCAAAUGUUCAUCAAGGACCACAACCUUGAGGGAAAGGUGGAGGCAGGGUGGGAAAAAAAUGGGAAAACUUAAAACAAAAAUACAAGUUCAUAGGCGGGGUGUUAUGGGGCAGACACUGCAGCAGCAAGGCAGUUUCUGAGACCAUCACCAGAUUGCUGGACUGGCACAGGAACCUCAAAGUCCACUCCAUCGUUGUCCAGGGUUGGUCUGGACAACCUGAAGUCCUUCCUGAGGUCACCUCCCUCAAAGUAAAGAGACAGCAGGGGAACAUGGGGGUUUACUCUGCUGUAUGGCCCUCUCACACCAACCUGUAAUAUAGAAAACAUGCCAUCAAAAAUUAGUUGUUUUUAAUUAUUUAUUGAACUAUUUAUUGGUAUUUGUGUAUUUUCAAAAAUUAUUUAUUGGUAUUUGUGUAUUUUUAAAAACUAUUUAUUGGUAUUUGUGUAUGUUUUUAACUACUUGUUUUGAAUGAUAAUAUUUAAAGUAUUUAUUACAUCUAUAUGAAAUUAUUCUUAAAUUAUUAAACUUUGCUAUAAAAUUAAAAAGUGGUUAUGUGGCAUAGCUAUGGCAUCAUAGAAAAUAUGAAUUGUGAAUGAGAAAACUUAACAAAAAUGGACUUACCUCAGCAGGGAAACCAAACUGUAAGUACAAAUUAAUCAAAUGCCGGAGGCGACGGAUGGCUUGUCUUCUGUGUCUGUGGACAGUCAACAUUCCAGUUUAUUUAGUUGUGGAAAUUAUUUUGUUGAAACUGUAUUUAAUAUUGAUUAUUAUCCAGUGUAAAAUUGACCUGAAGCCAACAUUCAGCUAAGAGUCAAGCCGAGAUAUUUGCCUGGUGUACUUCCGGUUUUGCCGUCGGAGGUUUGAGGUUUGAGACAUUUAUAUCAAAAGAUAUUCCUUCAGUUUUUAUUUUACAGGAAGCUCUACAGGAAGAGGAAUACGUAUGUAGAAGAAUAAUAGUAAGAAAAAAAAAGUGUGCAGGCAGUCACCCUAAUAAGAGUGUAAUAUAGUAACGUGAUUGUAGAACAUCUACAAUCUAAAUUUUGAAUUACAUUUAAUGAGAGUUACUGUAUUGAUGGUGUUAAGCCUAUGCUAAGUAAUCAAUGAACAACUUACAAAGGAUGUAAUCAAACAAAUAUUUAUUUAGACAGUGUCAACAUGAAUGCUGCUAGAUGUUCUUGGCUAACAAGACAAAGAUAUUCAAAGUUACAAAAUAAAAAAAGCCAAAUAUUGUCUGCUGGAAAAAUGGCAAUAAAAAAUGGCCCUCACAGCUUGUGUUUCCUCUCAUCGGAUAUCUGUGCAGUAGGUAUGUGCUGAACCCAAACUGUCCUGUGAGGCUUAUGUUUGACCUCUUAUACAGAGUUCAGUGAGGUGUAGAGGCAUGUUUAUCUUUGUCUGGGUAUGUGUGGACAGUCCUAAUUUAAAGAGGAAUCCUCUCAGUCAGAGAGACAUGACUGUCUCUUUGCUGGUGGUUGUUCCUCUCCGAGGCUUUAUUCCAGUUUUGCUUCUCUAAAGUCAAAAGACAAUAAUAAAAAAUAACUAAGAAAUGUACAACAAUGUUAGAUGCCCAUAGAGCUGAUGACAAGUCUCUCCAGGUUUAGUGUAGCACAGGAUUGUACACAGGGUUCUUCAGUCGUGUGGAGAUGUGUGAGCUCACUGUGGCAGACAUCUUCUGGACCAUAAUUUUGGUGACAUCCUGUCCCUGGAUAGCCUGUGUUCCCUUCUCUGGGUAGAAACCGAUGAAUCGCCUGAAGCCAGAGUAGUCUAUGUUCAGAGACUGAAUGAAAAACUACAUUUUGUAGUCUAAACAAGGUAGUUUUGAGUUUUUACAAUUCUAAAAAGACUAUAAACAAUCACCUGAUAUAUUAACCAUGAAAAUUAGAUUACAGUAGAUGUGGUACUCAGGUGGGCCAUAGCAGGAGACUGGACGCAGAAGAGAGGAGGAGAUUUUGUUCUGCCCUGUGUCGCAGGUUGUUAUGCUGUGGUUGCACACCUGACCGGCCACAGCGUUCCACCUGGCUACAUUGAGUACGUUUAUAUGCAGUCAAUAUUCGGGUUAAGGUCAAUAUUCCGGUUUCUGAAACAUUUGGAAUAACCCGUUAACACGGAUAAACAGACAGAGUUACUCCUGUUUACAUGGAGCGUAAUCAAUUGGGAUAUUCCCAUCCAAACCAGGACGUGCAGACAACAUCAUGACGCAAAUUGCGUCAUUUCCGUUUCUUCUUCCUGUACCCAAAGACAAAAACAACAGCAGCAGCAUCGGCAACGUGGUGGAAAAUGAACUGUCCGGGGCCGAUAGCAGUCGCCUUUGUUUGCGCUUUGGUGCUCGUGUUGACCCAUCAGCAGUACGUCACACUAUUGGGCCUCACAGUUUUAAUUAAUAGAAGGAGAGAAAGUGAAGAAAAAAUAUUAAAUGCGGUCGGAGCUGUGUCAUGCUUAUCCACGCUACCCGUACUCAAAAGACCAAGAUUCCUUUCGGUUGAAACGUGCGCAGAACGCGAAUGAAUGUUCCUUUCAAUGGGGAUAUCCUGAUGCGCGUUUAUAUGACGAGAUAUUCGGGUUAGAAAAGGAGUAACCCAGGGGUCUUAUUCGGGUUUUUAAAAACCGGAAUAUGAGCAUAUUCGGGUUUUUGCGGGUGUUUACAUGGCCGUACACAACCGGGUUAUUGCCAAUAUCCCGGUUAAGAAAGGGUUUUUGACUGCAUAUAAAUGCAGUCAUUAUGGCUCUUCGACAUUCCUCCAUCCUGAGUUCCAAGAUCCAAAGCACGUUUAUGUCUGUCAGUCACUCAAAAUUAACAUGAAUGUACACCUGGAUGAAAAGAAAACAUUGUUAGUGCAACAACCUAUGAUUAUUGUUAGAGAUACUCUAUGUUCUGGCUCAAUCACAUGAUCUUUAUUUACGCUGCUGAUCGUCCCGUUGUGCUAAUGAAACUAUCGGCAGUUGAGAAGUUAGGCUAAGUUACAUAGUUAAGUUAGCAAAAUAAAACGUUUUUUUUUUAAACCCAUAAGAGUGUUGUGAAAGUUAUUCAAAUUUUUAUUAGCCUCACUGACAAACUGACACUGUCCUUGAGUCUCAUCUAAGCAAAGCUAAAGCUAUUGUUAUGAAUAACUGCGAUCGAUAUUUUCAUAUCCUGAUUAUUUUUCGUUAUAGCUAACAUUCCUAGGAAAUAAAAUGGGUAAAGGCUUGUUUAAAACUGAAAAUAAGUUGGGUACAAAGACAAAUGCUUACCUGACAUUAAAAAACGUUGCAGCCUGACUGACUCAGUAGUCAACAGGGGGGUAUUCCACGAAGCUGACUUAGGUCUAAGCCUGGCUUAUUUCGGUCAGCUUCGCUAACUUUAGUGAGAGUUUUGUUCCACCAACAAGGCUUAGGGCUAGCCUGGCUUGGUAACCAUGGUAACUCAGCCAGAGCGACAAGCCUGGUCCGGGGCAGGCUAACAGUCAAGCUUACUUUAGCCCCAUGUCAGAGAAGGUUCUGACGAGCUUCAGAAAGACGCCUGUGAACCGCAUGUUACACAUUAAAUUCAUCUUGAUCUGUAGUCAAUGAUGUUCUUGUUCGGUGACAUACAUUGAGACAUUUUUUAAAUAACGCCGGAAUAACCGUGAAUCAAACGAUAUCAUAUUACACUACACAUUUUGUCACAGUGUGCAACUGUGGCUGAGUGGUUAGAGCAUAGUUAAGCAGACUAAAUGUGGUUUUACUUUUCAUUGCGCCGUGGGUUCGAAUCCACCAGCGGUAAAUACUUGGAAAUAUCUGAUUUUCUUUUUCUUUCACCCUCAAAGUGCAGUCAACACGUAACAGGAAUAGGCACAGAUUGUCUUAAAAUAAGCAGGACACAACAGCCACAGUUUUCCAUAAAGAAUACCUUCCUUUUACCAGCGGUCCAAUCUGAUCAUGAUGAUAAUCCAAAGGUGAUGCCAAAUGAUGAGAUAACUACUUUGUGUACAAGCUCAUUUGUGUCUUCUCCCUUAUUUAAAUGUAGGGCACAGUAGCACUAUCAUCUCUAAUAAAAAUGACAUCUCCUCUAUAGGCCUACACAGGCACGUGCAAGGGGGGGGGCUGGGGGGGCUGAAGCACCUGCCCCUUUUGCAUCUGAUGCCCAAAGUGCCCUUUUGUCAAUUUUUUUUUAAGUGUGUGUGUGUGUGUGUGUGUGUGUGUAUGUGUGUGAAAAUCUGUGUGGUCCAAAAUAAUAAAUAACUCAAACAAACAAAAAAAAUAAUUCAGGUCUACCCUCAGUCGGUCACAUGAUCCAGGUAGACGUCAGUCACGGCCCUGAUGUGCCCUGACGUGCCCCGAAGCUCACCGUUAGCGCUGCUAAUUUAGAAAUGGAAGACCCGAAGGAGGACAACCAAUGGUCUGGUGCUGCUAAUGUUGAAAGGGAAGACUCAAGGAAGGACAACUGAUGGUCCGAGAUGCCUCGUAAGGAGAGGAGGUUGAAAGAUAAACAAAAGGAGCUGCGUGAGGCUGCGAAAGGCAGUGGAUCACUCACCAGCUGGAUCACAAAGAACACAAAAGUGUCUACAGUCUCAGAUCAAUACAGCCCACCUCCAGCAGUGUCAUCAUCAGUAGCAGCAGCCUCCUCACCAACCCCUUCAACAAAAGCUGUUCAAUGAACCCCAUCAGGUCAAACACAGACUGCCUCCUAACAAAGAUAUGAGGUGUGUCGUAUGUUGUGAUUUUAUGUUUCAUUCUUUAAGAAUAUCUGCUGCUACAAUUCACCCAGGUAUAUUGUAGGUAUGUUUAUGGUGUUUCAAAUUCGUGCUCCAUGUGCCCCCCUUUGAACUUUGAGCACCUGCCCCUCCAAAGGUCUCUGCACGGCCCUGGUAAUGUCAGCCAUACCCAGGCCCAUGCACACACAGUGAGCAUGAGUCUGUUCAUGGCUGCGUUAUUAAAUCGUUUCCUCUUGGUACUUUUCCAUUAUGUGUCUUUUAAAUGUGAUUUUAAACCUAACUAAAUGUUUACAAGCUUUAAUUUCUUCAGAUAGGCUGUUCCAUAAUAUGACUCCCUUCACCGAGAUACACAUAGACUUUAGGGUUGUCUUUACUUUGGGCUGGUAUAAUUUAUCAAUUCCUCUCAGAUUAUAUUUAUGAAGAGCAUCUCUGUUUUGAAAUAAAUUUUGAAUGUUAUUGGGCAAUGAAUUUUU